AUCUAUAUCACUAAAGCACUUCUGGAUGGAUGCAAACUGCAUUUCGUUGCCCUGUACCUGUGCAUGUGCAAUGACAAUAAAGUUGAAUUCUAUUCUAUUCUAUUCUAAUUAGAGAGCAAACCUGCCACUUAGUGCAAAUUAAUAUCAGCCGGUUCAGUCCAACUGAAGGCCUGUAAAAAGGUGUGUAAUUCCCAACGUGUCACACAAGAACCAGCUCAUGAUUGGUAAAAACCAGUAGGCCCUUUCAAGAUGGUCACAGCCUUAUUGGUGCUAAACAUAUGCAUAUUACCCCAACAACACCACACCAACAGUGAAGUUUGGAGGUGGGAACAUCAUGGUGUGGGGCUGUUUUUCAACCAAUGGCGCUGACACGCUUCAUAUGACUGAGGGAAGGAUAAAUGUGAACAUGUACCGAGACAUCCUGCCAUCUUCCAGGAUGAUGAAGAUGAAACGGAGGUGGAUGUUUUCACCAAGACAAUGAUCGCAAACACACAAGGAAACUCUCAAUUGGCUUUCGAAAAAGAAAAAAAAAAGAUGGCUCAGCCAAUCACCUGACCUGAAUCCAAUUGAAAAUAUAUGGAAAGAACUAAAGCUAAGAGUUUGCGGGAUGGACGGAACCGUCAGGCUUUCAUGGCCAAAAUCACAUUGUGUGUCCAAAACUACUUACCGUCACCUUUGUUCAUUUACAAAAUCUGUACAGUAUUCAUCGCUACUUUACUCAAAUAAUGUAAACUAACCAGCCAAACAACAACUCACCCUUAAGCCUUUAUGAGCUGCUGGGCCAUUCCGGCCUCAAAGAUCCCAGCAAGCUUCACUAUCAGAGCCUCUGUUCAGUGUCCAGCCACGUUGCUACCUGAUUCAGGUUCCCCUCACUCUUCUAUCAAGCUCUCUCAUUAUCCAGAAUUUCUUCUGAUUUCUUCUCCUGGCAUUCCUUUUUGCUGGCACCUUCCCUUAACUCCCAGUCCCAAGCUUGCCUACCAGUUACAUAUUUGCAACAAUCUUUGACCUUUGUAACAUACAGUCAUCACUGGUUCCAGUGCAUGACUUCUUUGGGGAUCUGCCUGAAGCCGUUCCCAAACUGCAGCCUUGAUUCAUGCUCAAGCCAUUAUCUACUAGAAGUGGUGUCAAAACUAAAAUGAGGAUGUGGUCCCUGUUUGUCCCUUUGGCUGUGAGUGACUGUGCCCCAUUAAAGCUUUUUUAUUUUCUAAAAGAAAAAAAAAAGAAAAAAAAAAACAUUCUCCUCCAUUAAGGUCAUUCCUAACACUCACUGACAUCAUCAUUAACAAACUGCUCCUUUUUGAAAAACAUUAAAAAAACAGCCACAUGUGCAAAAAAAUAACAUUUAACAUUAAACUCAAACAACACUACACACACAAACACACACACACAGAGACAGAGACACACACACCUACCUUUCCUCUGGCUAUCAGCAGUUAAUAAAUAAGGGAAAUGAGCAGAAAGAGCUCAUUAAUAUCAGUGAAGGUGAGCUGCUAACAGCCCCAGGAGACUGCUACUGUUUAUACAUGAGAGGGAGAGGGAGAGAGGGGUGGUGGUGGGUGGUGAGGGUGUUCUCCAGAGCUAAAAAAUAAAACAACAAUGCCACUCCUUGAAUGGUCAUUCGAGGCCGGCACCACAAAGCCUGUCAGUUUCUCUUCUUUUACACACACAUGCAUUAUUAGCACAUAGGCACCGCAUUGACAUUGCUCCACCGUGUAUGAAGAGAGUUCCAAAUAUUUCCUUUUUUCCAUUCCUGAGAUAUUUCCAUUACAUCACUAUGUGCAGCACUUUCACGUCAUAGCCUGGAGGUCCUGGGUUUGACUUUGGAUAAUUCUGAAUGUGAGUGUGAUCAGCUGUGAUACCCCUGACGAGCUGCCACAGGUUUAUACUCGAUAGCUGAGAUCUGGU
ensembl:lncRNA